rnacentral:misc_RNA from 1 species
UGGCAGUGUGGAAUCUCACCUUCAUGGUGUUGACAAGGAAAGUUCUCCACUUGAUUGGGAUGCCCGAAUGAAAAUAGCACUCGGUGCUGCCCGAGGCCUGGCCUAUUUACAUGAAGAUUCCAGUCCCCGUGUCAUACACAGGGAUUUUAAGUCUAGUAACAUCUUACUGGAACAUGAUUUCACCCCAAAAGUGUCUGAUUUUGGUUUGGCUAGAGCUGCAUUAGAUGAAGGAGAAAG